GACGAACGCUGGCGGCGUGCUUAACACAUGCAAGUCGAACGGAAAGGCCUGCUUUCCCUUGUGGAUUGCGGGUACUCGAGUGGCGAACGGGUGAGUAACACGUGAGUGAUCUGCCCCCAACUUGGGUAUAAGCCUGGGAAACUGGGUCUAAUUCCCGAUAGGACUGCAGGGUGGUGCCUGUGGUGGAAAACGAUUUUCUAGUGGUUGGGGAUGAGCUCGCGGCCUAUCAGCUUGUUGGUGGGGUAAUGGCCUACCAAGGCGGCGACGGGUAGCCGGCCUGGGAGGGAGGACGGCGACAGUGGGACUGAGAUACGGCCCAGACUACUAGGGGAGGCAGCAGUGGGGAAUAUUGCACAAGGGGCGGAAGCCUGAUGCAGCGACGCCGAGUGGGGGAUGACGGCCUUCGGGUUGUAAACUCCUUUCGGCCGCGAGGAAGCCACCUGGUUGGAAGGGUGGUGACGGUAGUGGUAGAAGAAGCACCGGCUAACUACGUG
rnacentral:rRNA from 1 species